rnacentral:rRNA from 1 species
UACGUAGGGCGCAAGCGUUAUCCGGAAUUCUUGGGCGUAACGAGCUCGUAGGCGGUUUGUCGCGUCUGCCGUGAAAGUCCGGGGCUCAACUCCGGAUCUGCGGUGGGUACGGGCAGACUAGAGUGAUGUAGGGGAGACUGGAAUUCCUGGUGUAGCGGUGAAAUGCGCAGAUAUCAGGAGGAACACCGAUGGCGAAGGCAGGUCUCUGGGCAUUAACUGACGCUGAGGAGCGAAAGCAUGGGGAGCAAACAGG